UCCCAUGUGGCUUAGUUGGUAGAGCAUGGCACUUGCAAUGCCAGGGUUGUGGGUUUGAUUCCCAUGUGGGAC
rnacentral:tRNA from 1 species